UUAAGUUAUUAAGGGCGCACGGUGGAUGCCUUGGCACUAGAAGCCGAUGAAGGACGUUACUAACGACGAUAUGCUUUGGGGAGCUGUAAGUAAGCUUUGAUCCAGAGAUUUCCGAAUGGGGAAACCCAGCAUGAGUUAUGUCAUGUUAUCGAUAUGUGAAUACAUAGCAUAUCAGAAGGCACACCCGGAGAACUGAAACAUCUUAGUACCCGGAGGAAGAGAAAGAAAAUUCGAUUCCCUUAGUAGCGGCGAGCGAAAUGGGAAGAGCCCAAACCAACAAGCUUGCUUGUUGGGGUUGUAGGACACUCUAUACGGAGUUACAAAGGACGACAUUAGACGAAUCAUCUGGAAAGAUGAAUCAAAGAAGGUAAUAAUCCUGUAGUCGAAAAUGUUGUCUCUCUUGAGUGGAUCCUGAGUACGACGGAGCACGUGAAAUUCCGUCGGAAUCUGGGAGGACCAUCUCCUAAGGCUAAAUACUCUCUAGUGACCGAUAGUGAACCAGUACCGUGAGGGAAAGGUGAAAAGCACCCCGGAAGGGGAGUGAAAUAGAACCUGAAACCGUGUGCUUACAAGUAGUCAGAGCCCGUUAAUGGGUGAUGGCGUGCCUUUUGUAGAAUGAACCGGCGAGUUACGAUUUGAUGCAAGGUUAAGCAGUAAAUGUGGAGCCGUAGCGAAAGCGAGUCUGAAUAGGGCGUUUAGUAUUUGGUCGUAGACCCGAAACCAGGUGAUCUACCCUUGGUCAGGUUGAAGUUCAGGUAACACUGAAUGGAGGACCGAACCGACUUACGUUGAAAAGUGAGCGGAUGAACUGAGGGUAGCGGAGAAAUUCCAAUCGAACCUGGAGAUAGCUGGUUCUCUCCGAAAUAGCUUUAGGGCUAGCCUCAAGUGAUGAUUAUUGGAGGUAGAGCACUGUUUGGACGAGGGGCCCCUCUCGGGUUACCGAAUUCAGACAAACUCCGAAUGCCAAUUAAUUUAACUUGGGAGUCAGAACAUGGGUGAUAAGGUCCGUGUUCGAAAGGGAAACAGCCCAGACCACCAGCUAAGGUCCCAAAAUAUAUGUUAAGUGGAAAAGGAUGUGGCGUUGCCCAGACAACUAGGAUGUUGGCUUAGAAGCAGCCAUCAUUUAAAGAGUGCGUAAUAGCUCACUAGUCGAGUGACACUGCGCCGAAAAUGUACCGGGGCUAAACAUAUUACCGAAGCUGUGGAUUGUCCUUUGGACAAUGGUAGGAGAGCGUUCUAAGGGCGUUGAAGCAUGAUCGUAAGGACAUGUGGAGCGCUUAGAAGUGAGAAUGCCGGUGUGAGUAGCGAAAGACGGGUGAGAAUCCCGUCCACCGAUUGACUAAGGUUUCCAGAGGAAGGCUCGUCCGCUCUGGGUUAGUCGGGUCCUAAGCUGAGGCCGACAGGCGUAGGCGAUGGAUAACAGGUUGAUAUUCCUGUACCACCUAUAAUCGUUUUAAUCGAUGGGGGGACGCAGUAGGAUAGGCGAAGCGUGCGAUUGGAUUGCACGUCUAAGCAGUAAGGCUGAGUAUUAGGCAAAUCCGGUACUCGUUAAGGCUGAGCUGUGAUGGGGAGAAGACAUUGUGUCUUCGAGUCGUUGAUUUCACACUGCCGAGAAAAGCCUCUAGAUAGAAAAUAGGUGCCCGUACCGCAAACCGACACAGGUAGUCAAGAUGAGAAUUCUAAGGUGAGCGAGCGAACUCUCGUUAAGGAACUCGGCAAAAUGACCCCGUAACUUCGGGAGAAGGGGUGCUCUUUAGGGUUAACGCCCAGAAGAGCCGCAGUGAAUAGGCCCAAGCGACUGUUUAUCAAAAACACAGGUCUCUGCUAAACCGUAAGGUGAUGUAUAGGGGCUGACGCCUGCCCGGUGCUGGAAGGUUAAGAGGAGUGGUUAGCUUCUGCGAAGCUACGAAUCGAAGCCCCAGUAAACGGCGGCCGUAACUAUAACGGUCCUAAGGUAGCGAAAUUCCUUGUCGGGUAAGUUCCGACCCGCACGAAAGGCGUAACGAUUUGGGCACUGUCUCAACGAGAGACUCGGUGAAAUCAUAGUACCUGUGAAGAUGCAGGUUACCCGCGACAGGACGGAAAGACCCCGUGGAGCUUUACUGUAGCCUGAUAUUGAAAUUCGGCACAGCUUGUACAGGAUAGGUAGGAGCCUUUGAAACGUGAGCGCUAGCUUACGUGGAGGCGCUGGUGGGAUACUACCCUAGCUGUGUUGGCUUUCUAACCCGCACCACUUAUCGUGGUGGGAGACAGUGUCAGGCGGGCAGUUUGACUGGGGCGGUCGCCUCCUAAAAGGUAACGGAGGCGCUCAAAGGUUCCCUCAGAAUGGUUGGAAAUCAUUCAUAGAGUGUAAAGGCAUAAGGGAGCUUGACUGCGAGACCUACAAGUCGAGCAGGGUCGAAAGACGGACUUAGUGAUCCGGUGGUUCCGCAUGGAAGGGCCAUCGCUCAACGGAUAAAAGCUACCCCGGGGAUAACAGGCUUAUCUCCCCCAAGAGUUCACAUCGACGGGGAGGUUUGGCACCUCGAUGUCGGCUCAUCGCAUCCUGGGGCUGUAGUCGGUCCCAAGGGUUGGGCUGUUCGCCCGUUAAAGCGGUACGCGAGCUGGGUUCAGAACGUCGUGAGACAGUUCGGUCCCUAUCCGUCGUGGGCGUAGGAAAUUUGAGAGGAGCUGUCCUUAGUACGAGAGGACCGGGAUGGACAUACCUCUGGUGUACCAGUUGUCGUGCCAACGGCAUAGCUGGGUAGCUAUGUGUGGACGGGAUAAGUGCUGAAAGCAUCUAAGCAUGAAGCCCCCCUCAAGAUGAGAUUUCCCAACUUCGGUUAUAAGAUCCCUCAAAGAUGAUGAGGUUAAUAGGUUCGAGGUGGAAGCAUGGUGACAUGUGGAGCUGACGAAUACUAAUCGAUCGAAGACUUAAUCAA
rnacentral:rRNA from 1 species